rnacentral:rRNA from 1 species
GUCCACGCUGUAAACGAUGAGUGCUAGACGUUGGGGGACCUAGUUUCCCAGUGUCGCAGCUAACGCAUUAAGCACUCCGCCUGGGGAGUACGGCCGCAAGGUUAAAACUCAAAGGAAUUGACGGGGGGCCCCGCACAAGCGGUGGAGCAUGUGGUUCAAUUCGAAGCAACGCGAAGAACCUUACCAGCCCUUGACAUGGGUGGACGGGAUUCAGAGAUGAAUCCCUUCUCGCAAGAGACAACUACACAGGUGCUGCAUGGCUGUCGU